rnacentral:ncRNA from 1 species
UAUCUUAGACUUAAUAGUUAAUCAAAUGAGGGACAUCUCAUUUGAUAAAGUGGACAAACUUCAUAAGAGGGUAAUGACUUAUUUUAACCCCAUCGUAGGCCUAAGAGCAGCCACCAAUUAAGAAAGCGUUAAAGCUCAAACAUAGAAUUUUAUUCAAUACCCUAAAACUAUCAAAACCCCUAUAACAAUAUUGGAUGAUUCUAUUAAACUAUAGAAGACAUAAUGCUAAAAUCAGUAAUAAGAACUCAUUCUCCUUGCAUAAGCCUAAGUUAGCCAACGGAUUACCCACUAACACCUAACAAAUACAAUAUCUUUAAUUAACAACCAGUGAAUUACCCCAAUAAUUGUUAACCCAACACAGGCAUGCACUACUAAAGGACAGAUUAAAAAGAAUAAAAGGAACUCGGCAAACCAAAACCCCGCCUGUUUACCAAAAACAUCACCUCUAGCAUUUCAAGUAUUAGAGGCACUGCCUGCCCAGUGAAUUAAUUUUAACGGCCGCGGUAUCCUGACCGUGCAAAGGUAGCAUAAUCACUUGUCUCCUAAAUAGAGACUUGUAUGAAUGGCAAAACGAGGGUUUAACUGUCUCUUUUUCUCAAUCAAUGAAAUUGACCUACCCGUGCAGAGGCGGGUAUAACUUUAUAAGACGAGAAGACCCUGUGGAGCUUAAAAUUACAACUUAAAUUAAUUUAUACUAUACCCUAAGGGAUUAAUCUUACAAAACUUUUUAAGCUGAAUUUUUGGUUGGGGUGACCUCGGAGCACAAGCAACCCUCCGAAUGACAUAACUAAGACUAACACAUCUAAGUGCAACCUAAGCCAGUAAUUGACCCAAAACUUGAUCAACGGAACAAGUUACCCCAGGGAUAACAGCGCAAUCCUAUUUAAGAGCCCAUAUCGACAAUUAGGGUUUACGACCUCGAUGUUGGAUCAGGACACCCCAAUGGUGCAGCCGCUAUUAAAGGUUCGUUUGUUCAACGAUUAAAGUCCUACGUGAUCUGAGUUCAGACCGGAGAAAUCCAGGUCGGUUUCUAUCUAUAUAAUAAUUUCUCCUAGUACGAAAGGACAAGAGAAUUAAGGCCAACAUUACAAACAAGCCUUACAACUAACUAAUGAUCUUAUCUCAAUUAGUUAAUGCAAGAUUUUAUUACUCUAGAGAAGAGUUAUUAAGGUGGCAGAGCAGGUAAUUGCAUAAAACUUAAGCCUUUACUAU